rnacentral:rRNA from 1 species
GACAGAGGUGCCAAGCGUUAGGCGGAAUCACUGGGCUUAAAGCGUGUGUAGGCGGAUGUCUAAGUACCUUGUGAAAUCCCACGGCUCAACCGUGGAACUGCUUGGUAUACUGGAUGUCUUGAGCCAUCUAGGGGCUACCGGAACAAAUGGUGGAGCGGUGAAAUGCGUAGAUAUCAUUUGGAACGCCAAUGGUGAAAACAGGUAGCUGGGGGAUGUGCUGACGCUGAGACACGAAAGCCAGGGGAGCAAACGGGG